UUCAUCUUCUCUUCUUGCGACGUCAUCGACGAAAAAAACCAGAAUCUAGGGCUGGACGAUUAAGGUAAAAGAAUGUUUAGCUUAGCAAAUCCAAGCUCGUCGUCGGUUUCUAGCAGAGGCAACUGGAGACGUCGUGGUGGAAAUCGACAGAGCUGAAGUAGUUGGACUCGAGAAGGAGCUCGAUGGAAUGAAGAAAGUGAUUGCCGAGCAGGAGAGAGAUAAGAUUGACUGCAUCAAUGAGUUAAAGUCGAUGAAAAAUGUAAUGGUGUUGGGUUUUGGUAUUGCCAUUGUUUACUAUUACUUUUUCGGUAAAGAAUGAUUUUUGUGAAAAUCAUGUGUAAGAUCUGACUUUGAAAGACUUCAUCAGUGACUAUGUUGUAAGAUUUGGAUUUGAAUGUAUGUUUUGGUGAACCAUGUUAUAAGACUUCUAUCUAAAUGAA